rnacentral:rRNA from 1 species
CAGCCGCCGCGGUAAUACGGAGGGUGCAAGCGUUAUCCGGAUUCACUGGGUUUAAAGGGUGCGUAGGAGGGCAGGUAAGUCAGUGGUGAAAUCUCCAAGCUUAACUUGGAAACUGCCGUUGAUACUAUCUGUCUUGAAUACUGUGGAGGUGAGCGGAAUAUGUCAUGUAGCGGUGAAAUGCUUAGAUAUGACAUAGAACACCAAUUGCGAAGGCAGCUCACUACACAUAUAUUGACUCUGAGGCACGAAAGCGUGGGGAUCAAACAGGAUUAGAUACCCUGGUAGUCCACGCCCUAAACUAUGGAUACUCGACAUACGCGAUAAACUGUGUGUGUCUGAGCGAAAGCAUUAAGUAUCCCACCUGGGAAGUACGACCGCAAGGUUGAAACUUAAAGGAAUUGGCGGG